GACGAACGCUGGCGGCGUGCCUAACACACGCAAGUCGAACGGAGAUUUCAGUAAUGAAAUCUUAGUGGCGAACGGGUGAGUAACGCGUAGACAACCUGCCUUUUAGAUGGGGACAACACCGCGAAAGUGGUGCUAAUACCGAAUGUUGUAUUUUAAUCGCAUGAUUGAGAUACUAAAGAUGGCCUCUGUAUAUGCUAUCGCUAAAAGAGGGGUCUGCGUCUGAUUAGCUAGUUGGUGAGGUAAUGGCUCACCAAGGCGACGAUCAGUAGCCGGUCUGAGAGGAUGAACGGCCACACUGGGACUGAGACACGGCCCAGACUCCUACGGGAGGCAGCAGUGGGGAAUCUUCCGCAAUGGACGAAAGUCUGACGGAGCAACGCCGCGUGAGUGAAGAAGGUUUUCGGAUCGUAAAACUCUGUUUUCAGGGACGAAUGUGCAGAUUGUGAAUAAUGAUUUGUAAUGACGGUACCUGAGUAGAAAGCCACGGCUAACUACGUGCCAGCAGCCGCAGUAA
rnacentral:rRNA from 1 species